rnacentral:lncRNA from 1 species
CCGUGGCUUCUGGAGUCUUCUAGAUGAUAGAAAAUUGCACGGCACGUUAAUAUCUCUAUGUAAACCCGACGUGUGGGCCUUUCCUCCAUAUUUCCUGAUAACCCCCUGCAGAAAUAGACAAACACCAAAACUCGUGGAAUUCUGUCAGAUAAAACCCUAAGUCUAGGUGUUGGUUGCAUUUGGAUCCUUUUCUAUGAUUAAUUGAUGGUUAAAUGUGAGCAUUAAGGACCGUCAACAAGCUCCCCCAAGCUUAACCUUUGCUCGUCCCUGAGCAAAGAUGAACUCAAGAGUUUCUGCAGUGGUUUAAUAACUUAAAGAUACAUGCGUUUAAACAAGAUCUCAUCUCUGGUUAGAGUAAACAGUUAAGACUUAAAACUUACUCAUUUACCUUUCACCAUGGGACUUGUAACCGUCACUUGUGUCUUGAGCAGUUAAAAGAUAGAACAGUCUAGUCAAGCGUCAUGUCUCUUGUUCUUCGAUUAACUAUAGCUCUGGAGUUUUUGCAGAUUUUCAAAUAAAACUCAGAGAUUCCUUGUAUGACUCUCUCUAGUCUCUCUUUUGUGGUAUUUCUGGAUCCUUACCAAGGCAAUAAUGGUGUAUGCCUUCUCUCAAAGUAUGUAGUAUUUUUGGUAUGGGGCAUAGUGGCAUUGCCUUCUCUCUCACCCUACUCUAAUAAGGUUUUGAUAUCUGGAGCUCAUAGGUGGGAGACAGCUAAUACAUACUUACAAGACAUUUAUUGCAUCGUCAAACCAUGGAUCCAGAAGAACAAGUCAAUAAGUCAAAUCAAGAUGUGCAUGUGUGGCGAAUGAAUGGUGUAUGGUAAUGAUGGUGAUAACAAUGGUGAAAGUCUAAUUCUACUUGUGCUCUUUUGAGGGGAUACAUACCUUUCUUGCACUUUGAAACUUUUUGAGGAGAAUGAGAUGCUCUAUAUUUUCUUUUUUCUUUUCUCUCAGGUGGGUAUCUUGUACCCCUAAUUCUACUGUCGGACACUUGUCCAUUUUUACCUCUCGUCUCACUUUUUUUUCUCCGAGCUUUCGGGCACUUGCCCCUUUUUAUUUCCUCAUAUUUUUCUCUCUUUUUUUUAGAGCACUCAUCUCAUGAGAUAAUGUAGCAAGUGGUAGUAACAAGAUAACUUGAGCAUUUAUUUCACAGGGGAAAACAGAAAUGUUUUUGGCUAUUCUCUCCGGGAUUAGGAGUAGAAUAUUUUUAGGUGAUUCUGGAGAUGGAAAUGGGUGGAUAUAUGUGGAUGGUACUUCCGGAGUAGAAGUAGCAUGUGUGAGUGAACGUGCAAAUGAAUCUUGAUUUAACCACAUGACAAGCUCCUAAGGGUCUACACAGCUUGACCACACUCAAUGCUCAUAAGCAGUAAAAAGUAAAUGUCUGGCUCAAAGUCUAGCAAGCAUGUAUAUAUGGCUGUGGUAGGAAUUUAAACUCUCAUCAUACUGGAACUCAUCAUGCAACAUUUUAAAGUUUUUUUUCAAAGAUAAAAUUCUCCAGAAUUCUAGCAUUUCUAGGAACAGAUAAACAACAGCUCAACCUUCCCAUAUCACAUCCGUUAAUGACUUAGACUUCAGAUCAAGUACUCUUCCCACAAGUUCAGGUUUAGAGCAAAUCUUAAUUAAUACCAGUCAUGCCUAAACUUGAGAGAGAUUUCAAUUUAAGAACUAGUCAUAGCAGAGUAACUAUUCAUCAUUUCCAUGUGAGAGAUUAUCAUGAGGGUUCAUAGCAAACUUUAUUUAUUUAUUUAUUUAGCAAACUAAGCAAAGAUAUAUAUAUAUAUAUAAGCACAAAAUGUUUAUUUGGGUUUAUAUGAUUAUGCAUCUUUUUAUUAUUAGAGUAAAGUAUAAACAUGAGUAGAAUACUUAGCUGGAUAAAUGGGGGUGCUCUCCCCCAAGCUGGAUUUUGACGUAGUUUCUUCUAAUGUAGCUAGCAAGUGGUGGAGGUGUAUUUGAAUGUCAGCAGCACCCUGACAGUGAUUAGGAUGUCCUCCGUCUGCUAGUCUUCUUUGAUCCUUGAAUUCUGUGGAGCUUAAAUAGACAACAAAGCUUUGUGGAACUGGUUAAGUGUUAGCAUAAAUACCUAGCCUUUAUCAUGUUGAGCCUCCUCAAUAAAUGU